UAGGAAUUUUGCGCAAUGGGGGAAACCCUGACGCAGCAACGCCGCGUGAAGGAUGAAGGCCCUCGGGUUGUAAACUUCUUUUAGCAGGAAAGAAAAAAAUGACGGUACCUGCAGAAAAAGCACCGGCUAACUCUGUGCCAGCAGCCGCGGUAAUACAGAGGGUGCAAGCGUUAUUCGGAAUUACUGGGCGUAAAGAGCGCGUAGGCGGUUCGUUAAGUUCGUUGUGAAAGCCCUGGACUCAAUCCGGGAAGUGCAGCGAAUACUGUCGAACUAGAGUAUGGGAGAGGAGAAUGGAAUUCCUGGUGUAGAGGUGAAAUUCGUAGAUAUCAGGAGGAACAACAGUGGCGAAGGCGAUUCUCUGGACCAUUACUGACGCUGAGGCGCGAAAGCGUGGGGAGCAAAC
rnacentral:rRNA from 1 species